GUGGGGAAUUUUGGACAAUGGGCGCAAGCCUGAUCCAGCCAUGCCGCGUGCGGGAAGAAGGCCUUCGGGUUGUAAACCGCUUUUGUCGGGGAAGAAAUCUUCCGGGCUAAUACCUCGGGAGGAUGACGGUACCCGAAGAAUAAGCACCGGCUAACUACGUGCCAGCAGCCGCGGUAAUACGUAGGGUGCGAGCGUUAAUCGGAAUUACUGGGCGUAAAGCGUGCGCAGGCGGUCGUGCAAGACAGAUGUGAAAUCCCCGGGCUUAACCUGGGCACUGCAUUUGUGACUGCACGGCUGGAGUGCGGCAGAGGGGGAUGGAAUUCCGCGUGUAGCAGUGAAAUGCGUAGAUAUGCGGAGGAACACCGAUGGCGAAGGCAAUCCCCUGGGCCUGCACUGACGCUCAUGCACGAAAGCGUGGGGAGCAAACAGGAUUAGAAACCCGUGUAGUCC
rnacentral:rRNA from 1 species